rnacentral:lncRNA from 1 species
CUUCUUCCUCCUCCCCCCCCGGGGGCCGGGCCGGGGGUCUCCAAGGGGAGGGCGGACGGCCGAGCAGGGGGACCAGGCUGGGGUCACACGACGGGGGCGGCCCUGGGCCCUGGGCAGUAGCUGGGCAUCUUGGCACCCCCGUGCUGAACGGAGAAGGAGGGCAGCGGGAGAGAGAGUGGGAGGCAGUUACAGCCCCGAGGUGAGAAGUGGCUGAGAAUCCGCGUCAGGAGUCCCAGGUCCGAGAUGGAGUUGGCUCCAAGCUGGGGCAGCGGGGACUGCUCGAGAUGCUGCGCCGCGCGCAGAGGGACGUCCGGACUCCUGGCUCGCGUCGAGCUCGACAAGGACCGGAGUUGCGGACGAGGCGGGACGGCGAGGUGUCCUUGCGGGCGGCGCCUCCCCGGAGCUGGCAAUGCCCGGGCGCGGCGCUCGCAGAUUCUGCCUAAGCGGAGCCCAGCGGCACACGAGGCGAGGCAGCUAGGGCGGCUCGGCAGGGGUCCCGGCGUGGAAACCAAGCGGGCACCCUUUCCUCACGGCAGACUGGGAGCGACUGGGAGCUGUCCCGCUGGAUGUUCCUGCAGUCUAAACACUAGGAGAGAUGAGGACCACUACACCUCUACUUCGGGGAGGGAAAAGCAACCUUGA